rnacentral:rRNA from 1 species
GUGGCUUCUGAUUGCUUAUUGCACCACAUGUGUUUUUUAUUGAACAAAUUUCUUUGGUGGCGGGAGCAAUCCUACCGCCAGAGGUUAUAACUAAACCAAACUUUUUAUUUACAGUCAAACUUGAUUUAUUAUUACAAUAGUCAAAACUUUCAACAACGGAUCUCUUGGUUCUCGCAUCGAUGAAGAACGCAGCGAAAUGCGAUACGUAAUAUGAAUUGCAGAUAUUCGUGAAUCAUCGAAUCUUUGAACGCACAUUGCGCCCUUUGGUAUUCCAAAGGGCAUGCCUGUUUGAGCGUCAUUUCUCCCUCAAACCCCCGGGUUUGGUGUUGAGCAAUACGCUAGGUUUGUUUGAAAGAAUUUAACGUGGAAACUUAUUUUAAGCGACUUAGGUUUAUCCAAAAACGCUUAUUUUGCUAGUGGCCACCACAAUUUAUUUCAUAACUUUGACCUCAAAUCAGGUAGGACUACCCGCUGAACUUAAGCAUAUCAAAAGCGGGAGGAA